CGGAGGGAGCGCGAAGCGCGCUGAGAGCGGGCAGACCCGGGCGUGGGCCCUGGGAGCUCUAUGGCUUUGAUUGACUCCAUCCGGGCUUCUCUUUCAGGAUUGAUGGAGUAUUUGAUGGUAGUGAGACGGAAGAGUGGGAGAAUGAGGAUUGUGAACGGAGAGGUGGAGAACGACACCCCGCAGGAGAAUGGGGACGGCGGAAAACAUACUGAAGUUGACUCUUAAAAGCUUAUGUGCCUGCACCUCCUGGAGAGUCUUCAUUUAUCCCCAGGGACGUGUGUAUCUCGGUUCAAAGAAUGCCCGUCUAAUUUAUUUUAUCCUCCUUCCAACUGGACAUUCUCAUCCUUGCUUUCUGCAGUCUGUGCUGUUUCCCCGACAUGGUCACCAUUUCUUUGUUCACCAUUCUUGCACUCCGUUAUUCUUUUUCGUCUUAUUGAAGUAUAUCCUUUAGAAUGACCUUUGGUGAGGAUCUGUUGAUAGUAAACUUUAUUUUCUGGAAGUACCUUUUUAAUGUCUUUGCACUAAAUUAUAGUUAUAAUUUUAGAUCUAGGUUAUUUCCUCUCAAAACUUUGUAUCAUUCAGUUGUCUUCUAGCUUAAAUUGUUGCUGUUGGGAAAUUAAGUUUCAGCAUUAUUCUUUUUGGGCAAUCAAUUUUUUCUUUGUUACAUUUAAGACCUCCUCUUUGUCACUCCGCAGUUUCACUAUAACCCUAUCUAUCCUGCUUAUGAUGUAUUGUGCUUCCUAAAUGCAGUAAUUCCUAACUAUGACCAAAUCUAGGAAAUUUUCAGCUGUUGUUUAAUAUUACCUAUUCUUUUGUCUUUGGAACUCCAAUUUUAUAUAGAUUCAAUCUUUUUCACUCUAUUCCCCAAGUCUCUUAAUAUCUUUUAUGAUUCUCCACGCAUUGGUGUAUUUCUGCUGUAUUCUAGGUAAUGUAUACUGGGUAAGUUUUAGUUUACUUGUUUUCUUUGGCUGUGUUCAAUCUGCUGUUUAACGUCCAUUCUGUUUUUACUUCCCAUGACUUUUUCAUUUGUGUAAGUUGAUUAUUUUUCAAAUUUUCCUGGUCAUACUUCAAUGACUUUUAUUUCUUGCUUGGCUUACUGACACCUUCCUUUAUUCCUCUAAAUAUUUUUAA